AGAACGAACGACUGGCUCCAGGCCUAACACAUGCAAGUCGAGCGCCCCGCAAGGGGAGCGGCAGACGGGAGAGUACCCCGUGGGAACGUGCCCUUCAGUUCGGAACAACCCAAGGAAACUUGGGCUGAUACCGGAUACGUCCGUAAGGAGAAAGAUUUAUCGCUGAAGGAUCGGCUCGCGUCUGAUUAGCUAGUUGGUGGGGUAAUGGCCCACCAAGGCGACGAUCAGUAGCUGGUCUGAGAGGAUGAUCAGCCACAUGGGGACUGAGACACGGCCCAGACUCCUACGGGAGGCAGCAGUGGG
rnacentral:rRNA from 2 species